ACAAUGAAAAUGACGUGACCCACUGAAAGGGAUUUGAGGAUAAUGUCGCUAACACCAGCGUUUGGAGAAUGUGAGCGAUGCUGAUAGCCUGGGGGCCAGAACAUCUCCAUAUACGUAAAUGUCUACCUGACCCACGGCCAAACCCGCUGGGCCCUUGCCGGGGGCGGAGCUUGCCCACUGUCCAUCGAACACCCCAACUGACCACAGAAAAUCAGACAUAAGGUGAGGGUUCUUGGUGUGCCCUGGGAGACCCAUCUCCCACCUCUCCACACCGUGCGAAACCUCAGCCUUCAUCUCAAAAGUCACAAGGUACAGUAGGAGGAAAGAGGGAAUACAAGGGGCCUCUAGGAGAAGCAGGACCUUGGGGACAACUGCUUGAAGAAUUGGAGGUGGUGAGCAGCCUCCACAGCAUCAGAUGCCACCAAGACAGCCCUACAGGAAGUGUACAUUCUGCACCCUUUCGCUAAGCCCCUGCACCAUGCCGGUUCACUAGAGGUGAGCGGAGGGUCCUUCCCUGCGAGAAGUCAGAGCUGUGCACCUGGGCAGGCUGGCUCCGCUCUUCUGCUCCAAGGAUUACAUGUCCUUCAAACGCCCCUGCCCCUCUCGAUACAACCGCACCAGCUACUUCUACCCCACGUUCUCAGAGAGCUCAGAGCACAGCCAUCUGCUGGUGUCUCCCGUGCUGGUGGCGAGUGCCGUCAUAGGUGUGGUCNNNNNNNNNNNNNNNNNNNNNNNNNNNNNNNNNNNNNNNNNNNNNNNNNNNNNNNNNNNNNNNNNNNNNNNNNNNNNGCCGCCGCCAUCGAGAGUCCGAGCACGGCUACGUGUCUGACGGACACGUGUACAGCCGCUCAAGCCACAGACUGCGCUACGCCUGCAGCCCUGCCGAGGACUGGCCUCCACCCUUGGACCUCAGCUCUGAUGGGGACGUGGAUGCCACGGUGCUCCGAGAGCUGUACCCAGAUUCCCCACCAGGUUACGAGGAGUGUGUGGGGCCGGGGGCCACGCAGCUGUACAUCCCCACGGACGCCCCGCCCCCCUACUCGCUGACCGACUCCUGCCCCGCGCUGGACGGCGCCCUGGACGCAGGCAGUGGCCGCAGCCCCGGCCGACACCAGCAGAGGGCGCAGGGGCCGCGCGGCNNNNNNNNNNNNNNNNNNNNNNNNNNNNNNNNNNNNNNNNNNNNNNNNNNNNNNNNNNNNNNNNNNNNNNNNNNGCUGCCGGGGCCAGAGCCCGGCCCAAGAGGCUCCCAUGGCUCCCCUGCGCCAACCCGGGCCCCGGCCUCGGGCCCAGAGAGGAUCCUGUGAGGGACCCAGUGGUCAGGUCCUGCUGGCCCCUCGGGGCUGAGCCACAUCUUUCAGGCACACAGGGGCACACACAUGCGCACACAUGCACGCACACACAGACAAACACACAUGGCACCCCCACACGCACCCAUAUAUACACAACUUGGACACACACACUGACACACUGUGGGCACACACACAUCCAGACGUGCCCCACACGUGUGCAGACACGUGCGCACACACGGCCCCCCUCACCUACACGAUCCCAUCGGCGAAGGUUUCAUUACCGAUGACGCUCUCCCACCUCCAGCCUCCUCCCCAGCCCGCAGACGAAGCUGGGAGCAGAGAGGUGGAGGAGGGACCAGGGCUCACUCGGCGCCGCCUCCCCCCCCCACCCCCUGCCCCCACCUGGCAGGCUGUGCCCAAACUCGGAUUCUGCCUCCAGUGACUGCUCAACCAUCCAGGUCAGCUGCCAGGCUCGACCCCAGCCCAGGGCAGCUGGACCUCCUGGUUGGCGGGACGGGUCUCAGUGAGGUUCAGCAACGCGCUGUCCCUCUCUCUCAAUUCCAGGGCAGAAGAGCUACAACAUCACCACCCUGCCACUUACAGGGUGAGGGACAGGGGUCUGUGGGCUCAGGCACAACCUGGAGAUCCUUGCAGCCCUCCCUGCCCACCCCUAGCCCCAUGCCCUCAGUCUGGUGGUGCUAGCGGCGUUAACUCAGAAGCCCUCACCCCAGGCACAGGUGAUGGACAGGGCCCUUGGCAGGCAUGCAGCGGUGGUGGUGGGUUAUAGCUGUGCCCGAGUCCGUCUAGCCGCUGCCCAGGACCAAGGGUUUUCAAAGAAGAGGGAGGGCUGCCUGGGUCUGGCUCCAAGGCAGAGCAGUGGCCCCUUGCUAAGUACAUGCUCAGCUAACCAUUAUGGCCUAAGCUUGAGGGGGCUGAAGCCCUACCCCUGAAGCCAGUGCUGUCCUCCUGGGGAGUGGCUCAUAGUUGGGAAUGGUGAGCCAACAUGCUCUGGCCCUGCUGUCCGUGGUGUUUGUGGAGACAAGAUAUAGGGGACGUGGGCCCCAGCGUGCCACUGCGAGAGGACCAGUGCACCUCGGCCUUGCUGCUGGGGUACCACAGAAGGGAAUACGAGGGCUGGGUUUUUAGAAAGGCUCAGAUCUCGGGCCCUGAAUCCCAGCAAUUUCCAUCAGAGACCACGCAGGUAGCAGAGCCAACUCCUAAACACCUAGCCUGCCAGAGGUUGGCAGCCGAGCGAGCAUCUGUGGCAAGCAUCCCCGCCAGCAUCACCAGCGGCAGAGAGUUCUCAAACCCACCCCGCCUCCCUCCCCACCCCUCGCCCUGCAACAGCACCCCAGCCAUCCCCUCCCCCACAUUCCAAUUCCUCCAACAAAGGGCUAAGACAAUUUAGUAAUCCCUUUCUUAAGAAGAAGGGUGGCAAGGAAGGCAAUCGUGAAUUUUAUUUUCUGUAGAAAUAGAAUUUCUUCUGGUGCAGAACUGAAAGGAAUCCAUCCAGAGGUUCUGUAGCAUCUGGAGCCCCUGAGUCCACCCCGGGGGAGGAACCUUGUUUACAAGCAGUUCUGUCCACCUUUGUGGUAUACUGUUUUCUAGGCAAAAAAUAUCUGUCUGUUGUACUGUAUAGCCUUUACAACGCACUCCAGGGAUGAGGGUCUUUUCAGAAACGCGUCCUGCUUCUGCAACCCUAGAGACUGCCCCGGGGAAAAAGAUAAAAAUCCCCACAUGCUCAUCAGUGUUUGAGG
ensembl:lncRNA